AUGGCAUCAAGGGUUGUGUUCUCCAACAGGAUCCCGCUGGUGCGCGCCAUGGAGAACCUCCUGGCCGCGUCGUCCGGCUCGGCGCUCCGGCCGGCUGCCGUCGCCGGCGGCGUCCGCGGGUACAACGCCGGCGCGCCCCUCCGGAGCUACGACAGGGACGAGGCGGUCGAAGACACCCGCCGCGUCGCGCGCGAGCGCGACAUCGGCGUGCCCAGCUUCUUCUCAGGUAAUGUGUUCCGUGAUCCGUUCAGCGCGCCGCAGAGCCUGGGCCGGCUGCUGAGCAUGCUGGACGACGUGGCGGCGGCGUCCCCCGAUGGCGCCGCGCGGGCCGCGCCGAUGCGGCGCGGGUGGAACGCGAGGGAGGACGCGGACGCGCUGCGGCUGAGGGUGGACAUGCCGGGGCUGGGCAAGGAACACGUGAAGGUGUGGGCGGAGCAGAACAGCCUGGUGAUCAAGGGCGAGGGCGAGAAGGAGUCGGAGCAGGAGGGGGCCGACGCCCCGAGGUACAGCGGCCGGCUCGAGCUCGCCGGGGACGUGUACCGGAUGGACCAGAUCAAGGCCGAGAUGAAGAACGGCGUGCUCAGGGUGGUCGUGCCCAAGGUCAAGGAGGAGGAGCGCAAGGACGUCUUCGAGGUCAACGUCGACUAG
rnacentral:rRNA from 1 species